rnacentral:lncRNA from 1 species
GAUGCAGAGAAGGAAGGCUCGGUUGUUUGGAUCCUUAAUAAGUCAGUAAAUAUUUCAGGAUGAAGUGGUCUGCUUGUUGUCAAAAUUAAAAAAAGAAAAAAGGAAAAGAGAAAGAAAUCCACCCCAAAAUACCAUGAGGGGAAUAUCUGUCUUCAGUGAUGCUCGGCUGGUAUUUAGUGGCAGCAGAGGUUCCUGGAGAUGCUCUGAGCCUCGUGUUUCAUUUCUGAAGGAAGUUUAUUAAUAAUGAAGGGGAGAAAUUGAUCGGUGGAUCCACAGAAGGGGGAAAACUAGCAGUGUUAUUUUUCUUCAAAAAAUAAAGAAAAAGCAGUGCAAGAAGAGAGCAUUCACCUCUCCAGUGGCUGGAUUCCAGGGGAAAAAAAGGGAAAAUUCGGGAGCAGCUUUGCUUGGCUGCAUGCAGACAAGAAGCCCCACUGGCCUCCUGCCUGCUCCUGGGCUGCCAGCGGAAGCUUUGCCAUGGACUUGGCAGCACUGUGCCCAAAUGCUGCCCGGCUUUGUGCUGCGCUUCCCGGUGGAGCCAGGAAC